ensembl:miRNA
CGGCCUGUGCCACUCAAACUGUGGGGGCACUUUUUCCGUCUAAAGAAAGUGCCGCCAUUUUUUGAGUGUUACCGG